rnacentral:rRNA from 1 species
CCCUGGCUCAGAGUGAACGCUGGCGGCAGGCCUAAACACAUGCAAGUCGAAUGGCAGCACAGCAGUAGCAAAUACUGUGGGUGGCGAGUGGCGGACGGGUGAGGAAUGCAUCGGAAUCUGCCUAUUUGUGGGGGAUAACGUAGGGAAACUUACGCUAAUACCGCAUACGUCCUACGGGAGAAAGUGGGGGACCUUCGGGCCUCACGCAGAUAGAUGAGCCGAUGCCGGAUUAGCUAGUUGGCGGGGUAAAGGCCCACCAAGGCGACGAUCCGUAGCUGGUCUGAGAGGAUGAUCAGCCACACUGGAACUGAGACACGGUCCAGACUCCUACGGGAGGCAGCAGUGGGGAAUAUUGGACAAUGGGCGCAAGCCUGAUCCAGCCAUGCCGCGUGUGUGAAGAAGGCCUUCGGGUUGUAAAGCACUUUUGUCCGGAAAGAAAAGCUUCGGGUUAAUAACCCGGGGUUAUGACGGUACCGGAAGAAUAAGCACCGGC